rnacentral:rRNA from 1 species
CCUGGUUGAUCUUGCCAGUAGUCGUAUGCUUGUCUCAAAGAUUAAGCCAUGCAUGUCUAAGUAUGAACUAAUUUAGACUGUGAAACUACAGAUGGCUAACUAAAUCAGUUAUAGUUUUUCUGAUGGUACCAUACUACUUGGAUAACCAUAGUAAUUCUAGAGCUAAUACGUGCACCAAGUCCCGACUCUUUAGAAGGGAUGCAUUUUUUAGAUAAAAAACCAGCACAGGUUUGCCCGCUUCUCCAGUGAAUCAUGAUAACUCAACAGAUCACACAACCCUUGUGCUGGUGAUGCUUCAUUCAAAUUUCUGCCCGAUCAACUUUUGAUGGUAGGAUAGAGGCCUACCAUGGUGGUGACAGGUGAUGGAAAAUUAAGGUUCGAUUCCGGAGAGGGAGCUUGAGAAAUGGCUACCACAUCCAAGGAAGGCAGCAAGCGUGCAAAUUACCUAAUCCUGACAUGGGGAGGUAGUGACAAUAAAUAACAAUACUCGGCUCAUCGUGUCUGGUAAUUGGAAUGAUCACAAUCUAAAUCCCUUAACAAGGAUCCAUAGGAGGGAAAUUCUAGUGCCAAUAGCCGCAGUAAUUCAAGAUCCAAUAGCGUAUAUCUAACUUGUUGCAAUUAAAAUGUUCAUAGUUGGAUCUUAGGUUGUACAGGUCGGUCCGCCUACUCGGUGUGCACCUGCCCUUCCGUUCCUUUUUUCGGCGACGUGCUCCUAGCAUUAAUUGGAUGGGUCACGGCUCUGGCGCUGUUACUUUGAAAAAAUUAGAGUGCUCAAAGCAAGCUUAUGCUCUGAAUACAUUAGCAUGGAAUAACGUGAUAGGAGUUUGGUCCUAUUGUGUUGGCCUUGGGGACCAGAGUAAUGGUUAAUAGGGACUGUCGGGGGCAUUCGUAUUUUAUUGUUAGAGGUGAAAUUCUUGGAUUUAUGAAAGACGGACCACUACGAAAGAAUUUUCCAAGGAUGUUUUCAUUAAUCAAGAAUGAAAGUUAGGGGCUCGAAGACGAACAUAUAUCAUCUUAGUCUCAACCAUAAACGAUGCUGACCUUAUGAGAAAUCACAGAGUGUUUGGGUUCUAGGGGUAGUAUGGUCGCAAGGCUGAAACUUAAAGGAAUUGAUGGAAGGGCACCAUGAGGAGUGGAACCUGCAGCUCAAUUUGACUCAACAAGGGGAAACUUACCAGUUCCAAGCAUAGUAAGGAUUGACAGAUUGAGAGCUCUUUCUUAAUUCUAUGGGUGGUGGUGCAUAGUCAUUCUUAGUUGGUGGAGAGAUUUGUCUAGUUAAUUUUGGUAACAAGCAAGACCUCAACCUGCUAACUAGCUACAUGGAGGUUCCCCUUCGCGACCAACUUAUUAGAGGGACUAUGGUCAUUUAGGCCAUGGAAGUUUGAGGCAAUAACAAGUUUGUGAUUCCCUUAGAUGUUCUGGGACGCACGUGCGCUACACUGAUGCAGUCGACGAGUUUUUGUUCCUGGUUCGAGAGGAUUGGAAAAUCUUCUCAAAUUUCAUCGUGAUGGGGAAAGAACAUUGCAAUUAUUGGUCUUCAACGAGGAAUUCCUAGUAAGCGUGUGUCAUCAACUUGUGUUGACUACAUCCCUACUCUUUGUACACACCGCUCAUCGCUCCUACCGAUUGAAUGAUCCGGUGAAGUGUUCCGAUUGCAUCGACAAUGGUGGUUCACCGUCAUCGACAUCGUGAGAAGUUCAUUGAACCUUAUCAUUUAGAGGAAGGAGAAGUCGUAACAAGGUUAUCGUAGGUGAACCUGUAGUAG